rnacentral:tRNA from 1 species
GGAGGGGUCGCAUAGUGGUCUAGUGCACGUCGUUGGAAACGACGCAUACCGAAAGGUAUCGCGAGUUCAAAUCUCGCCCCCUCCGCAA